GACGAACGCUGGCGGCGUGCUUAACACAUGCAAGUCGAACGGAAAGGCCCCGCUUUUGUGGGGUGCUCGAGUGGCGAACGGGUGAGUAACACGUGAGUAACCUGCCCUUGACUUUGGGAUAACUUCAGGAAACUGGGGCUAAUACCGGAUAGGAGCUCCUGCUGCAUGGUGGGGGUUGGAAAGUUUCGGCGGUUGGGGAUGGACUCGCGGCUUAUCAGCUUGUUGGUGGGGUAGUGGCUUACCGAGGCUUUGACGGGUAGCCGGCCUGAGAGGGUGACCGGCCACAUUGGGACUGAGAUACGGCCCAGACUCCUACGGGAGGCAGCAGUGGGGAAUAUUGCACAAUGGGCGGAAGCCUGAUGCAGCAACGCCGCGUGCGGGAUGACGGCCUUCGGGUUGUAAACCGCUUUCGCCUGUGACGAAGCGUGAGUGACGGUAAUGGGUAAAGAAGCACCGGCUAACUACGUGCCAGCAGCCGCGGUGAUACGUAGGGUGCGAGCGUUGUCCGGAUUUAUUGGGCGUAAAGGGCUCGUAGGUGGUUGAUUGCGUCGGAAGUGUAAUCUUGGGGCUUAACCCUGAGCGUGCUUUCGAUACGGGUUGACUUGAGGAAGGUAGGGGAGAAUGGAAUUCCUGGUGGAGCGGUGGAAUGCGCAGAUAUCAGGAGGAACACCAGUGGCGAAGGCGGUUCUCUGGGCCUUUCCUGACGCUGAGGAGCGAAAGCGUGGGGAGCGAACAGGCUUAGAUACCCUGGUAGUCCACGCUGUAAACGGUGGGUACUAGGUGUGGGGUCCAUUCCACGGGUUCCGUGCCGUAGCUAACGCUUUAAGUACCCCGCCUGGGGAGUACGGCCGCAAGGCUAAAACUCAAAGGAAUUGACGGGGCCCCGCACAAGCGGCGGAGCAUGCGGAUUAAUUCGAUGCAACGCGUAGAACCUUACCUGGGUUUGACAUGGGUCGGGAGUGCUCAGAGAUGGGUGUGCCUCUUUUGGGGUCGGUUCACAGGUGGUGCAUGGCUGUCGUCAGCUCGUGUCGUGAGAUGUUGGGUUAAGUCCCGCAACGAGCGCAACCCUUGUUCACUGUUGCCAGCACGUUAUGGUGGGGACUCAGUGGAGACCGCCGGGGUCAACUCGGAGGAAGGUGGGGAUGACGUCAAGUCAUCAUACCCCUUAUGUCCAGGGCUUCACGCAUGCUACAAUGGCUGGUACAGAGAGUGGCGAGCCUGUGAGGGUGAGCGAAUCUCGGAAAGCCGGUCUCAGUUCGGAUUGGGGUCUGCAACCCGACCUCAUGAAGUCGGAGUCGCUAGUAAUCGCAGAUCAGCAACGCUGCGGUGAAUACGUUCCCGGG
rnacentral:rRNA from 1 species